rnacentral:rRNA from 1 species
UGCGGAAGGAUCAUUACCGAGUGUAGGGUUCCUAGCGAGCCCAACCUCCCACCCGUGUUUACUGUACCUUAGUUGCUUCGGCGGGCCCGCCAUUCAUGGCCGCCGGGGGCUCUCAGCCCCGGGCCCGCGCCCGCCGGAGACACCACGAACUCUGUCUGAUCUAGUGAAGUCUGAGUUGAUUGUAUCGCAAUCAGUUAAAACUUUCAACAAUGGAUCUCUUGGUUCCGGCAUCGAUGAAGAACGCAGCGAAAUGCGAUAACUAGUGUGAAUUGCAGAAUUCCGUGAAUCAUCGAGUCUUUGAACGCACAUUGCGCCCCCUGGUAUUCCGGGGGGCAUGCCUGUCCGAGCGUCAUUGCUGCCCAUCAAGCACGGCUUGUGUGUUGGGUCGUCGUCCCCUCUCCGGGGGGGACGGGCCCCAAAGGCAGCGGCGGCACCGCGUCCGAUCCUCGAGCGUAUGGGGCUUUGUCACCCGCUCUGUAGGCCCGGCCGGCGCUUGCCGAACGCAAAUCAAUCUUUUCCAGGUGACCUCGAUCAGGUAAGGAACAAAUCGUG